AACAGCCUAACGGCUGAACCAGCAACUUGGAGGAAUGUAAAUUGACUACGUCAAAUAAAGUUCUAGUGGAAUAAUGAUAAUGACAAUUUUCUAUUAUAUGUCUUGACCAAAUCACGUGCCAGCAGUCGCGGUAAUACGUGGAAGACGAGUGUUAUUCAUCUUUAAUAGGUUUAAAGGGUACCUAGACGGUAUUUUUAGCCCAAAAUAGGGUACGAAAUUACUAGAGUUUAUAUAUAGGAAGGGGAGUAUUUUUAGCUGUAGAGAUGAAAUUCUGUCAUACUUCAAGGACUGGUAAAGGCGAAGGCAACCUUCUAUGUAAAAACUGACGUUGAGGGACGAAGGCUUGGAUAGCAAUAAGGAUUAGAUACCCUAGUAGUCCUUGCAGAGAAUUAUGAAUGCCAUAUGUUAGAUUAGUAUGAUUUAGCGUAUAAAUAAAAGUGUAAGCAUUCCACCUCAAGAGUAAUGUGGCAACGCAGGAACUGAAAUCAUUAGACCGUUUCUGAAACCAGUAGUGGAGUAUGUUAUUUAAUUCGAUAAUCCUCGAAAAACCUUACCACUGUGUCAAUUAUAUGACAAUUUGAAUAGUUAUUUUAAUUACAAGCGCUGCACGGCUGUCUUCAGUUAAUGUCGUGAGAUUUUGGUUUUUUCCUAAAAUUAACGUAAACCCUUAUUUUAUUUAUUUUUUUAUUAAUAAAGUAUUUUAGCCGUUAUAUUGGUUAUAAUAAAAGGGACUAGGACAAGUCAUCAUGGCCUCAAUAUUGUGGGCUAUAGACGUGCCACAUAUGCCUAUACAAAAAGAUGCGAUAAUGCGAAUUGGAGCUAAUCUUUCAAAAUAGGACAUAAUAA
rnacentral:rRNA from 1 species